GAAUUCCGUGCCGCAGCAAACGCAUUAAGUGCCCCGCCUGGGGAGUACGGCCGCAAGGCUAAAACUCAAAGAAAUUGACGGGGGCCCGCACAAGCGGCGGAGCAUGCGGAUUAAUUCGAUGCAACGCGAAGAACCUUACCAAGGCUUGACAUACACCGGAAACGUGCAGAGAUGUGCGCCCCGCAAGGUCGGUGUACAGGUGGUGCAUGGUUGUCGUCAGCUCGUGUCGUGAGAUGUUGGGUUAAGUCCCGCAACGAGCGCAACCCUCGUCCCAUGUUGCCAGCGGGUUAUGCCGGGGACUCAUGGGAGACUGCCGGGGUCAACUCGGAGGAAGGUGGGGAUGACGUCAAAUCAUCAUGCCCCUUAUGUCUUGGGCUUCACGCAUGCUACAAUGGCCGGUACAAAGGGCUGCGAUACCGCGAGGUGGAGCGAAUCCCAAAAAGCCGGUCUCAGUUCGGAUUGGGGUCUGCAACUCGACCCCAUGAAGUCGGAGUCGCUAGUAAUCGCAGAUCAGCAACGCUGCGGUGAAUACGUUCCCGGGCCUUGUACACACCGCCCGUCAAGUCAUGAAAGUCGGUAACACCCGAAGCCGAUGGCCCAACCGUAAG
rnacentral:rRNA from 1 species